rnacentral:rRNA from 1 species
AGAGUUUGAUCAUGGCUCAGAGUGAACGCUGGCGGCGUGGAUUAGGCAUGCAAGUCGAGCGAUCUUUUUUAAUGAAGCAGGGUGAAAUUUUCGGAUGGAUCUUUGCGGAUUUAGAAAGGUUAGCGGCAAACGGGUGAGUAAUACGUGGGCAACGUACCUUUGAGGAGAGGGGCAGCUCCGAGAAAUCGGGGGUAAUACCUCAUGUGCCCUUGACGCUGAAAUGCGUCAAGGGGAAAGAUGGCCUCUAUUUAUAAGCUAUUACCUUAAGAGCGGCUCACGGCCUAUCAGGUAGUUGGUGAGGUAACGGCCCACCAAGCCUAAGACGGGUAGCUGGUCUGAGAGGAUGGUCAGCCACAUCGGGACUGAGACACUGCCCGGACUCCUACGGGAGGCUGCAGUCGAGAAUCUUUCUCAAUGGACGAAAGUCUGAAGAUGCGACGCCGCGUGAGGGAUGAAGGUCUUCGGAUUGUAAACCUCUUUUAUAGGGGAGGAAAAGCCUGGUCGUGAAUAAUUACCAGGAAUUGACUGUACUCUAUGAAUAAGUCACGGCUAACUCCGUGCCAGCAGCCGCGGUAAUA